CGAAGGUAGGUGAAAGAGAAGACCCCUCGAACAAGAACGAGUCUCCAGAAGCGAUCGAGUCGAGCAGGAAGACGACUUUUGAAUUUCGCCGAGUGAGCGCUGAUGACGUAAUGAGGGAUUAGCUUGCCAGUGGAAAUGCAUCUGCGCACAUACAUUUCACAUACUUUUUGGCCAAUUUUCAAUCGAAGAGGAGGUUGUUUUCUAUGUUCUCUCAACGUCGUGAGCGAUCCCGUCUUCUAUACCCUUCCAGGUACCCUGAAGGUCCUCCAGAGGAGAAUUUAUCUCCAGCGAAGCGUUGUUGAUCCGCUAAAUUCGUCUCGAAACAUAUUCACCCAGUGCAGUGCUGAUAAAUGUAGAAUGUUGAAUCUGUGAUAAUUGUUGACGAUGGAGAGAGAGGCUGAUAGCCGCUGUCGCAGGGAAAGUGAAGCUGCUGGAAGUCACGACGGGGAGCCCGUUUGUAUCACCUGAACAACCAGACUUCAAAGCAGCUUGACCAAAUCGGAGGGUGCCUCGUUGCUUAUCGUCAAUAUUACACCGACAUGAAUUACUACAAGUACACUGGUCUGUCCAAUAUGCAUUGACGGUAUUGGGUAUGGUAUCUGCUCUGAGAAGGGAAUCGCUGGAGCCACAGUCCAAUUAUACAGGCUUUCAAGAAACAGAGAGGAGCCAUCUUUCCAAGCUGAUACCUGAUGUGUACAGACGGAAUUCUCACGAGAUACCUUACGGACUACUUGUGGUGUGUACUUCAUAGUACUCCUUCGACUACUAUCUAGAAUCAAGUCGACUGAAACAAGUUCGAACAACUCUGGCUUCAAACGAGCCGUCGAUUAGACAAACAAAACAUUCUCUCAUAUACUGGAGCACUCUGACAACUCACGACCUAUUCCUAACGAUUGCCACCGCUUAUAAAAUAUGUAGAGUGCUGAUUGGAAUGUGCUCACAAUCUCAACAAUUCAGUGCUAUAAUUAUUUGAACAAUGUGUUAGAAAUGAUUCCACUUUUCCUUCCAUAAAUGUUGUAUCCACAGUGCUCCAAAGUUUCUUUGCUCUCUAGCCGCCUGCAAAUCCAACAGUGAAAUUGUUAGUUCGUAUUUAUAAUGUGGGUAUGUGGGAGGGGGUUGAACAUAUUUUUAUAUAAGGGACCUGCAACUGUAAUACCACAGUACAGUAGCCGGCAAAUAUGUAGAAAACAGAAAUGCAUGUUCCCAUCAUUGUACAUGGACGGGCGCAGCAGGCCGAAGCUAUCAGCCAGAACAGGAUUUACAAUCACUUAGAGAUACUGGAGCUAUUCCAGUAUUCUCCGUGAGCUGUCCCAUUCCACAAUGGUUCAUGCCACCAUUAUUUCUGGUAGUAUCCAUGUGCAUAGUUCCAAGACCAUCUCGGAUUCUCCAGCAAUUUGUGCCACGGCAAAAGACAAUGCUUGACUCGGUCACUGGGGCAGUCAAACUUCCCAUCACAAAUGAACUUCAAUUUCCCAUCUGUUUCAAGUAUAUGUACUGCCAUGACUUGACCAUGCUUCAUCCACAGCUGGGCGAAAAUUGUGGCAUCGAA